UACGUAGGAGGCGAGCGUUGUCCGGAGUACUGGGCGUAAAGCGCACGCAGGCGGUCCUAUUAGUCUGGGGUGACAGUUCCCGGCUUAACCGGAAAAGGACUCUGGAAACUGUAGGACUUGAGGGCUUCAGAGGGAUGUGGAAUUCCAGGUGGAGUGGUGAAAUGCGUAGAGAUCUGGAAGAACACCAAAGGCGAAGGCAGCAUCCUGGGAAGUUCCUGACGCUCGGGUGCGAAAGCCAGGGGAGCAAGCGGG
rnacentral:rRNA from 1 species